rnacentral:rRNA from 1 species
CCCAGACUCCUACGGGAGGCAGCAGUGAGGAAUAUUGGUCAAUGGGCUAAGGCCUGAACCAGCCAAGUCGCGUGAGGGAAGACGGUCCUAUGGAUUGUAAACCUCUUUUGUCGGGGAGCAACGAGGCCACGUGUGACCGAAGUGAGAGUACCCGAAGAAAAAGCAUCGGCUAACUCCGUGCCAGCAGCCGCGGUAAUACGGAGGAUGCGAGCGUUAUCCGGAUUUAUUGGGUUUAAAGGGUGCGUAGGCGGAACAUUAAGUCAGCGGUAAAAUCGAGGGGCUCAACCCCGGCGAGCCGUUGAAACUGGCGGGCUGGAGUUGGAGAGAAGUACGCGGAAUGCGCGGUGUAGCGGUGAAAUGCUUAGAUAUCGCGCAGAACCCCGAUUGCGAAGGCAGCGUACCGGCUCCACACUGACGCUGAGGCACGAAAGCGUGGGUAUCGAACAGGAUUAGAUACCCCUGUAA